rnacentral:rRNA from 1 species
GACGAACGCUGGCGGCGUGCCUAAUACAUGCAAGUCGAACGCACAGUUUAUACCGUAGCUUGCUACACCAUAAACUGUGAGUUGCGAACGGGUGAGUAACGCGUAGGUAACCUGCCUGGUAGCGGGGGAUAACUAUUGGAAACGAUAGCUAAUACCGCAUAAUAUUAAUUAUUGCAUGAUAAUUGAUUGAAAGAUGCAAUUGCAUCACUACCAGAUGGACCUGCGUUGUAUUAGCUAGUAGGUGAGGUAACGGCUCACCUAGGCGACGAUACAUAGCCGACCUGAGAGGGUGAUCGGCCACACUGGGACUGAGACACGGCCCAGACUCCUACGGGAGGCAGCAGUAGGGAAUCUUCGGCAAUGGACGAAAGUCUGACCGAGCAACGCCGCGGGAGUGAAGAAGGUUUUCGGAUCGGAAAGCUCUGUUGUAAGAGAAGAACGGGUGUGAGAGUGGAAAGUUCACACUGUGACGGUAUCUUACCAGAAAGGGACGGCUAACUACGUG